ACUGUUCUUAGUGUGCCCAUCACAGCACUGGAAGAAAAAGAAUACUGAGAUAGUUGCCUGAAAAGCAGAAGCAGCUCCUGUCACAGUGCCAAAUGCACUCGUUUAAGGAAUUCUGAUUUUACAAAAGGAACUCCCCCAACCCCCAAACUAAAAGUUAAAGAUGAGGAAGCAUCAUGUCUUAAAAUAGACAGUUUUGUGGUUUUCUCACUGCAGUCAAAAACACAGAACUCUGGCAAAACAGCAUGGAAUGGGAAGUGGACGUGGCUUUCUGCAUAAAACACAUACCCUGCAACAUAGCAAAUUACUCUGCCUGAUCCUUCACCCAUUAUCCUUGGACCAAGCUUAUGCUUUCUGUAAAGUGAGUCUGCAUCUUGAGAAUCCUUAUUCACUAGACAGAUUUGCUUUGCUUCGCUUUCAAAUACGUCAGGACAGGUCUGAAUUUGUAAUAGGUAUCUUGUCUCUUUUAUUUAGGACCAUUACUCUUUACAUUCCUUUUGAAAGUCUUUUUGCUACUCUCAAUAGAUCAGAGAUAGAAAAAUUUUCUUAGAGAAAUCUAAGAAAAUAAGUUUGCUUCAAAAAUCUCUAAAAUGCCUUC
rnacentral:lncRNA from 1 species